CUCACACACACACACACACACACACACACACACACACACAGAAUGCAUCUGAAUUGGUGUGUGUAUGUGUGUGUGUGUGUGUGUGUGUUUGCAUAUA
rnacentral:miRNA from 1 species